rnacentral:rRNA from 1 species
UACGAAGGGGGCUAGCGUUGCUCGGAAUGACUGGGCGUAAAGGGCGCGUAGGCGGUUUGGACAGUCAGGCGUGAAAUUCCUGGGCUUAACCUGGGGGCUGCGCUUGAUACAUCCAGACUUGAGUGGGGAAGAGGGUCGUGGAAUUCCCAGUGUAGAGGUGAAAUUCGUAGAUGUUGGGAAGAACACCGGUGGCGAAGGCGGCGACCUGGUCCUUUACUGACGCUGAGGCGCGAAAGCGUGGGGAGCAAACAGG